UAAGGAAUAUUGGUCAAUGGAGGCAACUCUGAACCAGCCAUGCCGCGUGCAGGAAGACGGCCCUCUGGGUUGUAAACUGCUUUUAUUCGGGAAUAAACCUGCUUACGUGUAAGUAGCUGAAUGUACCGAAGGAAUAAGGAUCGGCUAACUCCGUGCCAGCAGCCGCGGUAAUACGGAGGAUCCAAGCGUUAUCCGGAUUUAUUGGGUUUAAAGGGUGCGUAGGCGGCUUAUUAAGUCAGUGGUGAAAGAAGGUGGCUCAACCAUCGCAGGGCCCUUGAUACUGAUGAGCGGGAAUGAACUAGAGGGAGGCGGAAUGUGACAAGUAGCGGUGAAAGGAAUAGAUAGGUAAGAGAACACAGAUUGAGAAGGCAGCUUACUAUGGUUUGAUUGACGCUGAGGCACGAAAGCGUGGGGAGCAAACA
rnacentral:rRNA from 1 species